UACGAAGGGGGCUAGCGUUGCCCGGAAUCAUUGGGCGUAAAGAGCGUGUAGGCGGCCCGGUAAGUCCGCCGUGAAAGUCCAGGGCUCAACCCUGGAAUGCCGGUGGAAACUGCCGGGCUGGAGUCCGGAAGAGGCGAGUGGAAUUCCUGGUGUAGCGGUGAAAUGCGCAGAUAUCAGGAGGAACACCAAUGGCGAAGGCAGCUCGCUGGGACGGUACUGACGCUGAGGCGCGAAAGCGUGGGGAGCGAACAGG
rnacentral:rRNA from 1 species